rnacentral:lncRNA from 1 species
AUUUCAGAUUUCAUAAAUAAAAAGAAAAUUUCUUCAAACAUUUUUUUGAGAGGAUUAAUAUUCAACAGCAUAGUGAAUUGCACAAAGGCAAAACAAAAAUUUCAAGUUCAUUAGACCACAUUCAUUCUGUGUCAGAAACCUAUGCUGUGUCAACUAUUUAAUCACAAUCCAAAUUUAGAGCUGAAUCCAGCUUGUAUGUUGUGUCCAUACUUGCCCCAACCGUUCAGGGUUCAACCUCUGCGGUCGUAUAAAGCUGCGCCCUGCGGAGCAUCUGGUUCCGUAUUAAUUUCGAUAUAGUUCGAUCUUCAAUUAUCUUGUUAUAAUCAGAAAGUAGUAAACCCCUGAAUUAAAGUUAUUCUAGUGAUAUCGUAAUUAUUUCGUCGCUUUCAUUUACACUAAACAAG